UCUCUCCUGUGCUCUCUUCCCUUCCCACCCUCCACGCAAACGCACGCUUGCACACACUCGCUUUCUCUCUCUCCCUCGCUCUCUUUCUCUCGCUCGCGCACGCACAGGCUGCGCUGGGCUGUCUCUGCUCCGGCGCUGAGCUCACACUUUAGCCUUUUUCCUGUGCCGCGUUUGUGCUUUUCCUUAGGUGAGGGGAACACCGCUCGGCCCUCCCGCUCAUUGUAGCGGGGUUUAGGAACAGACACAACAUUGUCUGCGCUGGACUGACUGCUGGUCACCAAUUCCUGCGUUUUUUUUUCCCUCCGUAAUUUUUGCUCUCUCUCAAAUCUUUUCCUUUCUUGGCCCCCCCCCCCCCCUCCCUUUUUGUCCAAACCCUGAUCCUUGAGAGAGGGGAAGGAAAGGGAAGAGGUGAUUGUGGAGGGGAAGAUGAGGAGACGGAAAAAAAGGCGAACGUGAAAACGGACAGCGUGAUUCUGAAGGAGCAGAGAGAGGAAUGGCACUGGGCAGCGGGACGAGAGGGGGAAAGCGAGGGAGAGGGAGAGAGAAGGAACGAGGGAUGGUCGAAUGGGAGUCGGAAAAAUCGCGGGAAAAGAAAAAAGAAAAAUGACUAGACUCAUCCAACCUAGGCUGGAAUCCGGUAUUGUACCCCUGAGUGCUUCUAAAUCCUCUUCGACGGACUCCAGAAGGCAGGCGGGAGCACGAGCCAUGGGAAGAAUGCAGGACGAGCGCGUUCUCUCAGGGCGCAUUCCGAAACUGGCUGUAGGACAUGCUGGAGGCAUUUUAUUCGGACUUAUCAAGAUAGAUGAAUGCGGGAAAAACUCGUGGCUGAAACCCUUACCCUCUCCCUCAUUCCUACCCACAAUUUCUCUGCCCAGCCCCAAACCCUUGCCCCUUCUACAUUUUGUCUGUCUCCAUCCAUCACUCCCCUCCCUCCCUCCGUCCCCUUCUCCCUUUCUACCUUUUCAUUCUGCAGCAAAAGUGGCGCAUUGUGGAGGCAGACAGAGGUAGAAAGACAAUGAAAGAGAGAGAGAGAGAAAUGAAGGUGUGGAAAAGGAGAGGGUGCUGGAGAGAGGGUGCAGUGGACGCUCUAUUAUCAUCAGGAAACAAACAGGAGGAGAAGUGGCUGGCCCUUUAUUUCCUGUCCUUUUAUGUCGUCCUUUAAAAAAGUCCAUUAUGAUCCGGGGCUUUUGUUUUGAGUGCCCCACCGACGAAGGUUCACUAUUGCAGCGCAACACUCGUUCGUUUUCGACGACCCGCCGCAGCACUGAUGAAAUGAGGAUUUAGUUUUGCAGCAUGGACGAGUUCCUGUCGUCUGUGACUUGCUGGGUGUGCAUUGGAGAACUGGAUAGUUUAAAGGCAGUUCCAUUCUGCAGUAGUGUAUGCUGAAAACGGAUUCAAAAUGUCCCCUCCACAUUACAUUAAUAAAUAGUCAGUCACAAAAAUAAGCUACGAUAGACGUCAUAGCAAGAUAAACAUAUACUGGUCUAUAUAGUUUGUUAUAAUUAUCAUAUUAUAAAGAGUUUGACCAGCAAUAUCUUUGUAUAUCUUUUUUGACAUACCUGUCAAUCAGACAAUGUGCUGUAUGUUCAUUUCCACCUGUAUUAAUAAUUUAAUAAAAUAUAAAUUAAAUCAUUA